rnacentral:rRNA from 1 species
AAUGAACGCUGGCGGCGUGCCUAACACAUGCAAGUCGAACGGACUCAUAUUGAAGUAGCAAUACGGAGAUAUGAGUUAGUGGCGGACGGGUGAGUAACACGUAGGUAACCUACCCUUAAGCGGGGGACAACUCUUCGAAAGGAGAGCUAAUACCGCAUAAGACCACGGACUGGGAUGUCUGUGGUAAAAGGAGCAAUUCACUUGAGGAUGGGCUUGCGGCCUAUCAGGUAGUUGGCGGGGUAACGGCCCACCAAGCCUAAGACGGGUAGCCGGACUGAGAGGUUGAACGGCCACACUGGAACUGAGACACGGUCCAGACUCCUACGGGAGGCAG